rnacentral:rRNA from 1 species
GAUGAACGCUGGCGGCGUGCCUAAUACAUGCAAGUCGAGCGAACAGACGAGGAGCUUGCUCCUCUGACGUUAGCGGCGGACGGGUGAGUAACACGUGGAUAACCUACCUAUAAGACUGGGAUAACUUCGGGAAACCGGAGCUAAUACCGGAUAAUAUAUUGAACCGCAUGGUUCAAUAGUGAAAGACGGUUUUGCUGUCACUUAUAGAUGGAUCCGCGCCGCAUUAGCUAGUUGGUAAGGUAACGGCUUACCAAGGCAACGAUGCGUAGCCGACCUGAGAGAGUGAUAGGCCACCCUGGAACUGAGACACGGUCCAGACUCCUACGGGAGGCAGCAGUAGGGAAUCUUACGCAAUGGGCGAAAGCCUGACGGAGCAACGCCGCGUGAGUGAUGAAGGUCUUCGGAUCGUAAAACUCUGUUAUUAGGGAAGAACAAAUGUGUAAGUAACUAUGCACGUCUUGACGGUACCUAAUCAGAAAGCCACGGCUAACUACGUG